rnacentral:rRNA from 1 species
GACGAACGCUGGCGGCGUGCUUAACACAUGCAAGUCGAACGGAAAGGCCCUGCUUUUGUGGGGUGCUCGAGUGGCGAACGGGUGAGUAACACGUGAGUAACCUGCCCUUGACUUUGGGAUAACUUCAGGAAACUGGGGCUAAUACCGGAUAGGAGCUCCUGCUGCAUGGUGGGGGUUGGAAAGUUUCGGCGGUUGGGGAUGGACUCGCGGCUUAUCAGCUUGUUGGUGGGGUAGUGGCUUACCAAGGCUUUGACGGGUAGCCGGCCUGAGAGGGUGACCGGCCCCCUUGGGACCGGGGUUCCGGCCCGAACCCUUCGGGGGGCAGGCGGGGGGAAUAUUUCCCCAUGGGCCGAAGCCUGAUGCCGCAACGCCGCCUGCGGGAUGACGGCCUUUGGGUUGGAAACCGCUUUCGCCUGUGACGAAGCGUGAGUGACGGUAAUGGGUAAAGAAGCACCGGCUAACUACGUG